rnacentral:lncRNA from 1 species
AUUCAAUUCAUUUGAAAAUACAUUCAAAGCAGUUAUUGUCAUUAAAGUCAAAUAAUGUCAAUUAAUCUUUCUCAUUUUCAUGUAAACAAAAAACCCCAUAUUCUCAAUAGUUUGUGCUGAGAGUCUGUUGACCAAGAUGGCACCUACUAGGGACCCAGAGCUGUCUCCCUUCUGUCACAGAUUAUAGACAUAAUAAUAACCAAUGUUAUGUCUGUAAAUAACUUUGUGCUCAAAUGUACUUUACUGCUGACUCCAGUGUUCACCGAAUGCCUACGAGACAUACCCACCCAAGCAAGUUUUUCUAUUCUAGAACUUACGAGCUCUUCCUGAACGGCGGGACCCCCUAUGAGAAAGGCGUGGAAGUGGACCCUUCCGUGUCCAGGAGAGCACACAGCAGUGUUUUCCAUCAGAUGCUGACCAUGCGAAGGCAGCCUCAACUUCUGGUGAAACUGAGGUCUCUGAACCAAAGAUCGAGAAACAUCCUGAGCUUCCUGCCAGAAACCUUGGUUGGAAGUAUGUGCUGCUCCCACCUGCUGGUAUUUUAUCGGCAGAUUCUUGGAGAUGCGCUGCUGAAAGACAGGACGAACUCACAGAAGGCUGAGCUCAUCAGUCACCCAAUGCUGGCCUCCUUCCCCCAGCUCCUGGAGCAGCCUGAAGUGAUGGACGCGCUAAGGAGUUCAUGGGCUGAGAAAGAAAGCACACUGAAAAGAUCAGAGAAGCUGCCAACAACUAAAUCACAUGGGGACAAGGAAAGAUGAGUUUGGCCUGGGCUGUGUCCCAUACUCACAAGUGCCUGGGUCCGCUCGUGUCACUUAGAAGAACUGUGAUUAUCACAGAAGUCGCAUGGAUCUGUGAGCAGCGGUUCAACUGCGCUGA